GUUAGGGGAGGGGGUCGUGGGGCCCCCCCACACACACACUUGGGACUGGUGCAGAAGCCUGGCCAGUCUCAGCUGGGGGCGGAGACAGUGUGAAGGGCUUGGCUGGGUCCCUCCAGACAAGUGCGUCUUGAGGGAGCCUGGCUGGGGCAGGCCCUGGCCUGGCUGAUCGUGCCAUUCCCAAGGGGCCAGAGCGAUUCCUGGCCCUGGGACUCAGCCCGGCAGACACAGUUGCUUCCCAGCAAGGCUGGUGCAAACAGAUAGACUAGGUGCAGUUGGGACGCUGAGCUUCAUGUUUAUGCUGGUGCUCAAGAGUUGGAUGUCCUCUGUCAAGGUGAAGUCAGUGUUCCGGGCCCAUCCCUAGACUGCCGGAGUCCAGUGGAGAUGAAUGAGCCUCCUCAUGAUGGGUCCCCUCAAUGCACAUUUUGGGGGAAGGAGGGGAAUACUUUCUGCGCGAAGACAACUGGGGGAGAACACUGAACCACAAAGGCGCAAUUCCAGCUGAACACAAGGAAUCAUGUUUCAAUUGCAAUCUACUUGCGGCCAUGUGCUAAGAGCUGUGCGCUACUUCCCAGUCUCAGACAUUGGCAAGUAUAAUAGAUAUAUGACCUCCCUUUUGACAUUCUUUGCAGUAAUGUAUAAGUAUAUUCUAUGCCACUCUAAUGGACUACAACGUACUACAGGUCCUGUACGUAGAGUAAUGAUAGGUCUCAAAUAUUUCCAGGCAGAUGCAUGUUAAAAUUUUCAUUGAUGUGAUUACUUAUUUAUAAUGAAAUUGCAUUUUUAUGGAGGUGUAUAAUUACAGUUUGCAGCAAAAAUUUCCAGAUACACAGUGGUUACCCUUUAAAACUUGCCAAUUUCCAUAAACAUCUAGGUCUCAUAUUUCUAAAACUCCAUGUAGAAAAAAGAUCAGUCAUCAGUUACAUAUACACAACACCCAAUCCAUGCAUGCAAGCUGGCGUUGUGUAUGUGUGAAGAGGCAUGGACGUGCAAAUCGCUAGGGUUUCCAAUCAUGUCAUUUCACACACCUGAGUCUGAAAAAUUCCUGCCUAAAUAACAUUCCCUAUUUGGGGUAUUUUCAGCAUAAAUACAGGAAAAUUCAGUUCAUGCUGCAAUUCCUUGGGUAAUCAUAUCUAUUUGUCUAAGGCAAAACUUGCAAGUUUUGAGGGUGAUCACGGUAUUGCUCAAUUUAUUUAUAACUAAUUUUUUUACCCUUGAAUACAUUUUUCAAGACCAAUAUUGCAGUGGUCAACCUUAGUCUGUUGUAUCUAAAAAUCAACAUAGCAGUAUACAGCAAUUUUUAGCUACUAAUAAAACUCCCCAAACUUCAUGAAAGUCAGUCGUGGUGCUUCCUUUUACCCCAAGAAAAUCUGUCCUUGUCCUCAGCAGUGUAGGUCUUCCUCUCAAAAAGGCAUGCAUAUUUUAAUAGUUCUAUGCCUGUGGCACAGUGUUUCAAUAUGGUCAUGUAAUCAGUUGUUAAGACAUCACUUCUCAUUAUGGAAUGCAAACUGUGACUAUCCUACAUUUUGGCAGCCAGUCCUCCCCUUUGGAACUGCUUCAAGCUCAUUAGUGGUCAUCAUAUUAUA